AUGUUCUUAAUUCCGGUUGUCCCUGGCCAUCAUCACAUGACAGAAUGUUACAUGAUUCACACCACUUUCAAAACCUUUCUGGGACUUCUUACGUGCAAAGGAGCUGUUUGCCUCUUGUACCUCACGCUGACCCUUUCUGGAGACCUGGCAUGCUUUAGGGAAGCUUCACCAGUAAGAACAACGGAUCACAAACGAGGCCCGUGUGACGCUGGUUCCCUAAUGCAAGAGCGGAGAGCGGAGAAAGUUGAAGGAGAAGCGCUCUUCCGGUUCCCGGGCCCCCUGCCCCGUGCACGCAGGGCCGCGCGGCGACGCGGAC
rnacentral:lncRNA from 1 species